ensembl:lncRNA
GGAAGUUGCUCCCGACACCCUUUGCGCCACCGGAAGUCUCGCUCCCUAGGCCCCAGCCUCCUUCCGAGAUCGACUUCCGGGUAUGGCUGCCGCCCUUCCCCCACCCGUGGCGGCGGGAACCACCUGUACUCACUGCCAGUCAUUGCCGCCAGCAGCUUCCUCCUCUAGGUGUCUCGGCACGGGCCCGGGGACUCCUGUGCCUUCCACAGGGGCUGUAACGAGGCUAGCGCGCGCUUCGCGGUACCUGAGUGUCCACAGCAAUUGCCCCAGGGCUGGGCGACUGACCAGGAAAGGCUGGACGGGUAGACAGACCAGGGUGGGUCAUUCUGUCCUUCGGAGCCACCGGAGGCUUCAAAACAUCCGUCCACGUUUGGGGGCAAGGGAGCGCUGCAUAUUACUAGUAUUUCGUGAUUCUUUUAGAACGCUGAAUUGAGAUUGAAAGCGAGAGGAAAGGGCCCUGGACUCGGGAAUGGAAGGGUCUUCCUUUGUAGUUCAGGCUGGCCCUGAACUCACUAUGUAGACCAGGCUGGUUUAGAACUCUCGAGAUCCUCCUGCCUCAGCCUCCUGAGUGCUGAGAUUACAGGCGUGCAACACCACGCCUGGCUCUAGAGCAUUUUAAGUAACUGGUUUUUACUUCUUUACAGAGUCACUAGUAAUACCAACGAGUGCUGGGUUCUUCACAGAAAUUGCAUUAUUUUUGAAAACCAAUAUUUUUCUAUACUGUCAUGUGGAAGAAGAGACUAUGUUAUAAAUGGUGGGGUGUUGGAAUUUCUAAAAAUAAACCCUAAACCAUUUAAAUCCUUUUGGGCACUUUAGUUCAUCAGGUUAAUUGAUCAUGAACAUUAAAUGCCAACUGGCUUGAUUGGAAUGUUUUCUUAAAACAUUUGGUUUCCAGGAGACCUUACAAUUUAUUGCUUUUUCUGUUUCUUUCUGAGGUGCUGAAUAUCAGACCCCAGGCUACAAACAUACCAGACAACCACUCUACCACUGAGCAAAGCCCCCAGCUCUGGAUUAUUUCUUCAUUUAAUAUUUUUUCUAGGACAUUUACUUGGUUCUUUAACUUUUAAAGCUCAGACACCUGUUUUUUAAUGUUACUGAGUUUAGUCAGGACCAAAUUUCUUUGAUAAAAAUGGUGUUUUAAGUGUGGAGUGGUAGCAUAUACCUGUAAGCCCAGCACCAGGAAGGCUGAGGCAGGAGGAUUAUGACAUUGGAUCAUGAAACCAAGCUGAACUACAUUGUGAGAACCUGUCUCAGAACAUAUAAGCAAACAAUAUUUUAAAGUUUUCUUAAAAAUAUGAAUGUGCCCAGAUGUUGUGCAUGGCUGUAAUCCCAGCUGCUUUGGAGGAUGAGGCUAGAGGCUCCCCACUUUGAGGCUAGCCUAGGCAAUUUAUUGAGACCCUGCCUCAAAAUUUAAAAAAUAAAUAAAAAAUACAUUUUUUAAAAAGGGGGCUAGGGCUGUAACUCUGGACUAGGGAUAGAGAGUAGUAUGCUCAAGAUCUUGGGUUCAAUCUCCAACACUGCAAAAGAAAGUGAAGCUGUUGGCUCAUCUAUCUAGCAAAAAUUGUCCCCAGAGUUGUCACAUUGUCAAUGACCCAAACCUUAUCCCUUCUGAAAAAAAAUUUUUUUUGCUUUUUGAUAUAAUAUUUCUUAUUUAUAGACUUCAGCAAUACAAAUCAGUAGAACAUGCAUGUUAAAUUGUUAUUUUACCAAUAGGUUAUUACUACAGGGUUCUGUGGUAGUAUAAAUAGCAUGAAACAGUAAAAGAGACUUUGGUUCCAGUCUCAGAUUUUAUCCUUGUAGCCCCAGGGCCAGCACAGUAACAAGCACAUGACAGGCACUCAACAAAUAUCACUGACUUUGAAAGUGUAUGAAGACCUUUAAGGAUAGUAAAGAACAAAGACAGAGGCCAUGGUGAUCCUUACCUGUAAUCUCAGCUGCUUGGGUGGCUGAAAAAGGGUUUGUGGGUUUGAGGCCAGCCUGGGUAACAGUGAGAGUAUGUCUCAAAAAUAAAAAAACAAAGCAAAGAAGAAAGUAUGUCAGGAAAGACUUGAAAGAACCCAAGAAACAUAGUGUAAGAUGAAGGAGAGCCUUGUCAGGGAGAGCCUUGCAAGAAGGUGAGAUACACUGGGUAUGGUUGGUGCAUGCCUGUAAUCCCAGCAUUUAGGAGGCUAAGGUAGGACUAUCACUGCAAGUUUGAGGCCAGGCUGAUUCAGAGCAAGACCCUGCCUCAAAAAAAAAAAAAAAAAAAGGAUGAGAUACCACAGACAGGCAUUGUUGGAAGAGGAUCAAAAAUAGUGUUACUGAAUUAAAAGGUCAAGAGGAGAGAGUGGAAAAUCAACAUGGAAGGAAUUAAAGAAGAAUGAGAAGAAUUGGAACCAGGUGCCAAGAUAUUGUUACCAGUUACUUAUUGCCACAAAGCUGCUGCCUAAGAAGCUACCCCAAAGGGGAUCGAACUCGGGUCCUUGUGCUUACGCAGCGGGCAGCAAAACCACUGAGCUAAAUCCCUGGCCCUAGCUCAAUUCUGAUGAUGGAAGAAAGGGAGAAUGGAUGUGGGGACAACUAGUCAUCUGCUACACUGAUACAUAGGCAUGCUGCUGGAACUAUAACUAGGUUCAGUUUUUUGAAAGGAACUUUGGCAAUAAGUACCAAAAGCCAGAAUAACAUACCUGUGUUCUGACUUCAGAGGAACUUAAGAAAGUAAAGUAUAUGUACGAAGAUUUAGUUAUAAGAAUGUUCAUGGCAUAUUUAUGUUAAUAGCAGAAAAACUGAAGGCCAUCUCAAAUAUUUCAUUGCUUACUUUGGACAAGAUACUUAUAUGUGUCCAUGGAUACCAAAUGAUGAUAUCAUCACAGCUAUGAGGCCAGGAACCAUAAUCCCUAAGUGUUAUAGGUCUCCAUUCAAUGUUUUAUCUGUAGUCAAUGAGUGCCUAUAAUAUGCAUUACCCUGUUCUAAUAUUUUGAUAUGCCUUAUUUCCUUAUUUUGCCUAAUCAGUCUGGUAAGGGAGACAUUCAUAUAAACAUAAAUGGAGGCUCUGAAAGUUUAAGGAACUUAUUUAAAGUCAAACAGUGAAUGAGUGAUAAAUUUGAAUUCAGUUUUGUCCAGUUCUUGUCACUCUCCUUGUGCUUUUCUUCUCUUUUGUCUGGCCCAGCACAGCUGAUGAGUGGAGCAGGUCACUAGGGAAAAAGCAGUGUGCACAUCAUAGGGCAACUGGAGAAACAACCAUCUUGUCAGCAGAAUUCAUGGGGAAAGUACCCAGCCCUGAACACACUUGAAAUACUGUAGGUAGAAAGGGGGAAAUUAUAAAAGAAAUAGGGCCAUCUCACUGAGCUAAGGCAGGAAUGUAAGCAAUGAGGCAUCAGAGUUGGUGUGAAAAGGAAAGGUCAGCACUCUGUUUCUCAUUUCAUUUUUCCCCUCAGCAUCUGGCUUUCUGAGUUAUUUGAGCCAUAUGGCAGCUGGCAGAUGGCAACCAUAGCUUCCAUAUUUACUUUGUACAAUUUCGGCCACAUGGAAAGAUUCAUUAUUAGCCAGCCUGGACUACAUAGUGAGAUCUUGUGUCAAAAAAGAAAAAAGUUAUGUGCCAGAAAUGUGUUGAAGGGUAGCCUUGAACCAAUUCAGUUCUCCUCCCCUUUCAUGCUUGUAGUUCCUAAGAAUAACCAUAAAAUGUUCUUGAGUGGCAAUAUCAUUAGAUUGAGAGGAAACUAUUUGAAAUCAUCUGGACCUUGUUCCUGUCCCUUCUAGGGAGUGUAACAUCUUGAGAUAGGGAGGAACUGCUCAGGGUAGCAGUUUUAUUCCUCUUUCCCCUAUAAGCAACCUGUCCUUCAAAGCUUUGCCCUGAGCUGGCAGUAAGCUCAGUCAUAGAGUGUGAGUUUUGUAUACACAAGGCCCUGGGUUCAAUCUUCAGCACCAGGAAAAAAGUUUUACCUAUCAAAUCUGUUGCCCCUGAGUAUAUGACCUGUGACAGGUGCCUUUUGGGGUGCCUCAGCCGCAGUGCAGUUGGAGCAUAAGAAGUCAAGACUCCAUCUCUCCAGGGCAGCUUUCUUUCUUGCCCCCCCCCCACAGUAUUGGGAAUUAAACCCAUGGCCUUUGCAUGGAGCUAUAUCCUCAGUCUUUUUACUUUUUAUUUUUGAGACGGGGUCUUGCUAAGUCACUAAAUCGCCCAGGCUGGGCUUGAAUUUACAAUCCUCCUGCCUCAGCCUCCCAGAAUGCUGGGAUUACAAGCACAUACCACCACACCCAGCUAGGGCACAGCUUUCUUAAGCCUUGGGGUCCCGAUGAAGUUUAGGCUUCUUUUGUCCCUUGCAGCUUACCUCUAAGUAAUAAAUCUGUUUCUUAUAAUCUGUUGUAUGUAAAUUAUGUGUCAUUGGAUUCAGGCAAUUGGUAAAAUUGCAGCUCAUGAUGCAGGAUGUGCAAGCGUUCAGACUCCUAUUCCUAUGGCCAGCAUAGUGAAGAUCUUUGCUCUUCAUGCAUUUAGAGUCCUCCCUUGGUUAUCAGUGAACCUGAUCUACUUCAUAAGUGCAGUGCUGGAUCCUGGCAGGAUUGAUCCUUCUCCCUUGGGGAAAGCAAAUGUGCUGAGGGGCAAUCAGGGAUAUGAUUUUCUAGCUAUACAGGUGUACUUUCUUGAUGCAUCUUUUGACCUUGAUGGUCAAAUUAAAAGAGAAUUGAAAAAAAUAUUGGUUUCUUUUUGUCUGUGGUACAUCAUCCCCUAGAACAAUAGGUAGCUAUUUUUCUCUACAACUGACAAUGAUCAAGUUUGUUCAAAAGAAUUGAUUCUACUCCCUUAACAUCUUAACUGAUACAGUUGUAACAAGUUUAUAUGCUUAUAAAUAGGCUAAUUCAAAUAAUCUAUUCACUGAAAGAGUUUCACUGAAGAAAUAAAUAUUUUAUGGUAUUUGUGGUACCAUUUAUUGGGAAAUAAGUUUGUUUUAUCCCCAGAAACAUCCAGUCUUCUUGUAAUGCACAUUAGCACUGGAAAAAAGAGAACAGAAGAGACUCACAGAGAUAAAGGUGCCUACAUUUCUCAGACAGGCAGAGACAAAGGUAACUUGCUUUUUUAGUAAUCAAAAUGAGUCCAGCCCUCACCCUCCUUUAAAAAAAAAAACCAGGUAAAGCAACAUGUAGACACUGACUUAUUUUUCCUGAUUAUGACCAAAGUCAGCAAAAAAGAUAAUGAAAUCAGUGCCCUAGAACUCCUGGAUUCUAUGACAGCACAUCACUGGCUGGGAACAGGAUCAAAAUCCAUUUCUAGGAUCAUCUCUUAGGCUCUCAUCCCACUGCAGCAUAGUACCUCUUAGGCACUCCAUGAAUUGCCAUUAGCUCACAUCCUCUUAAGACAGGCAGAUUCUCUCUCCCAAGAGUAUCAGCUUAGAAGUUCUUUUACUCCUGCAAGCUCCAGGUGGAAGGACAGCAGCAUCUUUCAGUUUAGUUGACAGUGGAGUCCCAGAUGCUGUUUGAAGGCCACUCCAGAGAGGACUGAGUGAUUGGGUGGAAAGACUGCUCACCACGCACUCCCCUGCCUACCACUAUAUUCACCCCACUGGAGGUGUGGAGGACCCCUAACUGCAAAGAGGCUGGGUCACUGCAGGUCGCCGUGUAAACCUAUUCUCUGAUAGCAUAUGUUCCUGUGCAAAGAGCUGCAUUCACAUUAGCACUGGAGUCUCAGAAAGAACACAUGUUCACAUUCUGUAUUCCCCAGUGGGUAAUAUUUAUCAUAAAAAUCUAAAAUAUACUUUUUAGUCUGGAAUCUGAUCUUCUGCUGCAGCAGCACAGUAUAGUGGGAUUGCUGGCUGAGACCUGAAGGGUUACAUCCCUGCCUAUGCAGUUCUGAAUCAGAUAAUAGACCAGUGGUGGUGAACCUUUUACAGUUUUUUUGGUACUGGGGAUUGAACUCAGGACCUUACACUUGCAAGGCAGGCACUCUGCCACUGAGCUAAAUCCCCGGUCCUACAAUUUUCAAUGAUACAAACCACACACUGUGGCACACAUGCCAUAGGUUUGCUACCACAGUGAUAGAUCACAAAAGCAAUCUCUGUUCUUCUCCAUUCAGGUGGACAAACAGAAAUGAAAUGUAAGCUUCCUUGUAUUUCACAUUAGGUACCAUGAAGCCAAAGGCAAUGCAGACAACUGGGAUACUGCAGACACUUGGGCAAGUCAUUGCCAGGCCAGAAAAACUCCUGGCACAUAGAGUUGAUCAUCGGGAUUUGAUUUGGGUGGAGAUAGAAGUAAUGGAAAAGUACAUGAGGCUCUUGAGCAGGGGAUAACAGAUUUGUGACAGGAGCUGUGGUUUGGGUGGCUUUAUCUCAGAAUCAUGCCUGAUACAGGCUUUAAGACCUGCGAAGCAUAAGGGCUGACAAUCUUUGGUCCACAGUCAUAUCUUCCAAUCCCACCAAACUAUAAAACUUAGUGGCCUGGUGCCACAAUCUUUUCCUGGGUGGCAAGUCUGGUAUUGGUGGAGGAUCCUGAAGUCUUGGCAGGUCAUCUGGUGCAUGGUUUGUCCAUAUGGAACUAUGGAAACUUCUCCUUUGGCUCUAUAAGUCCCACUGACUAACAGAAAAGCAAUGUUAACAAUCUGAUCAAGUCAAAAAGUGGUUAUGCCACAUCAUUUUUCAGACAAUCAGUUGUCUGACAAUUUCCAAUUCAGUCUCCAAGCUUUCUGUGCCAUAGCAACUGCAUUAGGAUAAUCCUUCCACUUUGCUGAAGAGUAGCUUUUCUUCAUAGAUGGGCACAGGAGUAUACUUGGGCCCUUUAGGUGUCCCCCUCCUCCCCAGUACUGGGAUCAAACUCAGGAGCUUACACUUGCCAGGCAGGCAUGGCACCACUGAGCUACAUCCCUGUCCCGGGUUUUUUGAGGUUUUUGCAUCCUUCUCUAGGGGAUGCUUCUUCUUUUCUCAAACCCUUGUUUGCAAAGACAUAUUUGAAUCUGUCUUUGCUAUCCGUGUCCAUCCUGUUGGGCUUUUCAUCCUUGCUCUCUAUCUCCACCUUUAUCUAUUCAAGGGCUCUGAUCUUCUUUCUGCCUCCAACUAUUAG